GCUUGCUUUAAAUGGACACUGUAGGCACCGAGACCACUUCAGCUCAUUGAGGAGGUCUGGGUGCUGUGUCCCUUUUGCACCUAGUGCAAGCACUAAGUCUGCCCUCAGUGGCUGUCUUCUGUCCUCACGGAUAUCCAGCGUCAGAUUUUUCCCCAUAGGAAAGCACAAUGCGUUCCUAAGCGGAGGUCUAAUGCGUGCAUGGCAUUUGCCG